AUUUUUACAAUGAAAAAUUAAAUUGCUGAAGUUAGAUCGAGUUAUGUAGUGCUGAAGAAUCAGGAAUUGAAUUGGGAACAAUCAACUCAAUCUUCUUGGAUGGUAGCAGUAAGAUUGAAACAAGGAAAUUCAUGCUUUCCUUUGCAUCCUUGGAAACAUCUGAACAUAUAAAAUAGUUAACAACAGUAGUUGAAAGGCUCUUCGGUUCACUAGGAAUAGGAGUAUUAGCUAAAGCUUUAAUUUCCAUUGUUGUCUCCA
rnacentral:misc_RNA from 1 species